GAUGAACGCUGGCGGCGUGCCUAAUACAUGCCAGUCGAGCGAACAGACGAGGAGCUUGCUCCUCUGACGUUAGCGGCGGACGGGUGAGUAACACGUGGAUAACCUACCUAUAAGACUGGGAUAACUUCGGGAAACCGGAGCUAAUACCGGAUAAUAUAUUGAACCGCAUGGUUCAAUAGUGAAAGACGGUUUUGCUGUCACUUAUAGAUGGAUCCGCGCCGCAUUAGCUAGUUGGUAAGGUAACGGCUUACCAAGGCAACGAUGCGUAGCCGACCUGAGAGGGUGAUCGGCCACACUGGAACUGAGACACGGUCCAGACUCCUACGGGAGGCAGCAGUAGGGAAUCUUCCGCAACGGGCGAAAGCUUGACGGAGCAACGCCGCGUGAGUGAUGAAGGUCUUCGGAUCGUAAAACUCUGUUAUUAGGGAAGAACAAAUGUGUAAGUAACUAUGCACGUCUUGACGGUACCUAAUCAGAAAGCCACGGCUAACUACGUG
rnacentral:rRNA from 1 species